AGUGAACGCUGGCGGCAGGCCUAACACAUGCAAGUCGAACGGCAGCACAGGGGAGCUUGCUCCCUGGGUGGCGAGUGGCGGACGGGUGAGGAAUACAUCGGAAUCUACCCUGUCGUGGGGGAUAACGUAGGGAAACUUACGCUAAUACCGCAUACGACCUCCGGGUGAAAGCAGGGGAUCGCAAGACCUUGCGCGAUUGGAUGAGCCGAUGUCCGAUUAGCUAGUUGGCGGGGUAAAGGCCCACCAAGGCGACGAUCGGUAGCUGGUCUGAGAGGAUGAUCAGCCACACUGGAAAUGAGAAACGGUCCAGACUCCUACGGGAGGCAGCAGUGGGGAAUAUUGGAAAAUGGGCGAAAGCCUGAUCCAGCCAGGCCGGGUGGGUGAAGAAGGCCUUCGGGUUGUAAAGCCCUUUUGUUGGGAAAGAAAACUUUCCGGUUAAUACCCGGAGAGAAUGACGGUACCAAAAGAAUAAGCACCGGCUAACUUCGUG
rnacentral:rRNA from 1 species